rnacentral:misc_RNA from 1 species
GUAGGUGAACCUGCGGAAGGAUCAUUAGCGAGAUUGUUGGGUGUUGAUUGUGUGGGUUGGGUGGGUUGGGUGGGUUGAGGUGGUUGUUGGUGUUGUUGUCUGUGGUUGUUUGCGGGGCGGGGAAUCGUCCUGCAGUUGCCACAUUGUGUUGUAUAACCACAGCAUCACACACAUCACAUCAUCACAUCACAUCACUCACACAUCAUCACCCUAUCAUAUUUACCCCAAGAGACAGAGGUCUUUGGGUCAC